UGUUAGUGGCAGACGGGUGAGUAAUGCGUAGGAAUCUACCUAGUAGUACGGAAUAGCCAUUAGAAAUGGUGGGUAAUACUGUAUAAUCCCCGAGGGGGAAAGAUUUAUCGCUAUUAGAUGAGCCUACGUUAGAUUAGCUAGUUGGUGAGGUAAUGGCUUACCAAGGCUAUGAUCUAUAGCUGGUCUGAGAGGACGAUCAGCCACACUGGAACUGAGAUACGGUCCAGACUCCUACGGGAGGCAGCAGUGGGGAAUAUUGGACAAUGGGCGAAAGCCUGAUCCAGCUAUGCCGCGUGAGUGAAGAAGGCCUUCGGGUUGUAAAACUCUUUCAAUAGGGAAGAUAAUGACGGUACCUAUAGAAGAAGUCCCGGCAAACUCUGUGCCAGCAGCCGCGGUAAUACGGAGGGGGCAAGCGUUGUUCGGAAUUAUUGGGCGUAAAGGGCACGUAGGUGGACUAGUAAGUUAAAAGUGAAAUACCAAAGCUUAACUUUGGAGCGGCUUUUAAUACUGCUAGACUAGAGGUCGAAAGAGGAUAGCGGAAUUCCUAGUGUAGAGGUGAAAUUCGUAGAUAUUAGGAGGAACACCAGUGGCGAAGGCGGCUAUCUGGUUCGAUACUGACACUGAGGUGCGAAAGCGUGGGGAGCAAACAGGAUUAGAUACCCUGGUAGUCCACGCUGUAAACGAUGAGUGCUAAAUGUGAGGAUUUUAUCUUUGUAUUGUAGCUAACGCGUUAAGCACUCCGCCUGGGGACUACGGUCGCAAGACUAAAACUCAAAGGAAUUGACGGGGACCCGCACAAGCGGUGGAGCAUGUGGUUUAAUUCGAUGCUACGCGAAAAACCUUACCACUUUUUGACAUGAAGGUCGUAUCCCUCCUAACAGGGGGAGUCAGUUCGGCUGGACCUUACACAGGUGCUGCAUGGUUGUCGUCAGCUCGUGUCGUGAGAUGUUGGGUUAAGUCCCGCAACGAGCGCAACCCUCAUUCUUAGUUACCAACAGGUAAUGCUGGGCACUCUAAGGAAACUGCCAGUGAUAAACUGGAGGAAGGUGGGGAUGAUGUCAAAUCAGCACGGCCCUUAUAGGGUGGGCUACACACGUGCUACAAUGGCAACUACAAUAGGUUGCGAGACCGCAAGGUUUAGCUAAUCCAUAAAAGUUGUCUCAGUUCGGAUUGUUCUCUGAAACUCGAGAGCAUGAAGUCGGAAUCGCUAGUAAUCGUGGAUCAUCACGCCACGGUGAAUACGUUCUCGGGUCUUGUACACACUGCCCGUCACGCCAUGGGAAUUGGCUUAA
rnacentral:rRNA from 1 species